AGCGAACGCUGGCGGCAGGCCUAACACAUGCAAGUCGAACGAACCUUUCGGGGUUAGUGGCGGACGGGUGAGUAACACGUGGGAACGUGCCUUUAGGUUCGGAAUAACUCAGGGAAACUUGUGCUAAUACCGAAUGUGCCCUUCGGGGGAAAGAUUUAUCGCCUUUAGAGCGGCCCGCGUCUGAUUAGCUAGUUGGUUGAGGUAAUGGCUCACCAAGGCGACGAUCAGUAGCUGGUCUGAGAGGAUGAUCAGCCACAUUGGGACUGAGACACGGCCCAAACUCCUACGGGAGGCAGCAGUGGGGAAUCUUGCGCAAUGGGCGAAAGCCUGACGCAGCUAUGCCGCGUGAAUGAUGAAGGUCUUAGGAUUGUAAAAUUCUUUCACCGGGGACGAUAAUGACGGUACCCGGAGAAGAAGCCCCGGCUAACUUCGUG
rnacentral:rRNA from 1 species